UACGUAGGGUGCAAGCGUUGUCCGGAAUUAUUGGGCGUAAAGAGCUCGUAGGCGGUUCGUCACGUCGGCUGUGAAAACCUGAGGCUCAACCUCAGGCCUGCAGUCGAUACGGGCGGACUUGAGUACUGCAGGGGAGACUGGAAUUCCUGGUGUAGCGGUGAAAUGCGCAGAUAUCAGGAGGAACACCGGUGGCGAAGGCGGGUCUCUGGGCAGUAACUGACGCUGGAGGAGCGAAAGCCGUGGGGAGCGAACAGGA
rnacentral:rRNA from 1 species